rnacentral:lncRNA from 1 species
UGAUUAUUGUCACCUGGUUUUAUAGAUUAUUUGCUCAUAGGAGAUAAUUACCUCAACACUACGGUGGCAUGUGGGAUGAGACUUAAACGAUCACAAGGUACCAAGCGUUUGGCGAUCUUCUUGUCACAUGAGUUGUGAGCAAGGAUCUUAGCAAUGUCACCUUGACUUAGAGUCAAGAUGAGGCUUGUAAGAGUUGAACAUUGAGAUUGUCCACAUUCCAUGGAGCUAGUGAUAUCUGGAUUUGAAUCUUAAGUGAUUCAAGUCAAUCCUUUUUGCAAGAAUUGGAUUGAGAUCCAUAUGGAGGUUUUGACGUGACAACCCUAAAUGGAAGAUCCACCAUAAUAUAUAUUUCAUACUGUAUGUGCUAUUAGUCGAUCGAUGAAAAGAAAUGAUUGAAUAAAUCUCUAUGUCAUUACUAUGUGAGCCCGAAGGACUUAUGUAGUCCAAAUAUUAUACCUUUAGGGAGUUGGAUCUAUGAUAUGAAGUUGAGAUUUGGUGUUGCUACUUUACCAUGUUUUGCAAGGGUAAAAAAUGAUAUGAUCUAGCGGACCAUGACUAGGAA